CCAUUUGAUGGAAUAUUCAAGUUGGAAACAUAUCAUACUGCUUUGAACCAAUCAUCAAAGCCAGGAAAACGACUGCGAAUUGCUGCUACUAACAUUUUGAACAUAAAUGUUAGUGCUGCAAACCUUGAAACUCUUGGCGAUGCUGUUGUGUCCUGGAGAAGGCAAUUAGAACUUGAAGAAAGAGCGGCCAAAAUGAAAGAAGAAUCCGCCGUCUCUCG